UAACUUUGCAUAGGAGUGAACUGUUUCAUAUGAAGCUGCCAUAUACCAAGUUCAGACCAUUGGUCCAUCUAGUUCAGUACUGUCUACACUGGCUGGCAGCAGCUCUGCAGGGUUUCAGGCAGGGGUCUCCCCCAGACCUAUGUAAAGAUGCUGGAGAUUGAACCUGAGAUCUUCUGCAUGCAAAGCAGAUGCUUUAUUGCUGGAUGUUGUACUGACAUGUGCUCACUGGACAGACCAACUACAGGUAAUUCAUCAGAAAUUAGAAGGAAUCUGGAGGAUAAUUGCAACCUACCUCUAAUAUUAUAUGGAGGAUGAAAAUGGCUGGUCUAUAGUAAUGCUUAUAUGCAAAAGGAAAUGCCAAUAUAGCAUUAUAGGUGAGGUUGUGGAAGCUGUCAAGAUACUUAUAGAGCUAUAAAAUAUUGUUGCAUAUACAUUUCAUGGAACUUCAUUUUUAAUAAUAAAGUAAAGGGAAAUAAGUGACUUUUAAAAUGUUGGCAUGGAGGACCACAAUAGAAUAUCUCUCCUUUCUUCUUAAUCCUAAAUAAAAGCAUAACCCAAGCAGACAUAGUAUGAACAGGCUGCAUCUUCCAUGUCAAGAGAUUUGAUAGAGGUGGCAGAAAGUGUCGUAUUUCUUUCCUCACCCUAAAGGACAGUUCAAGAACCAGGAUUUUGGGGUUCCUCAGAUAGGUUAGCCUAAUAGACCCCCUGUGGAAAAGGUGGGGUGUGAAAACUGAGAGGUCUCCUGAUAUCCUUCUGACUUGCUUAGAGAAUCUGUGGAAAGUAAGACUUGAAGGACUAUCAGAGGGGUGAGUCCUUUUUCAGUAUUAAAACCCUGGCAAAUUCCCGGUUAUUCCACCCUUAGGACCUACUAAAAGAAUCAGUAAAAACAUCGGAGAGCAGGAGAUACUUCAUAAAGUACGCAAGUGGUAAACCGAGACUGUAAAGAAGGUUCCGCUUGAUAACAAUUCCAUUCUAAAGCUAUAAGAGCAAGAAAGACAACUCAGAAGUUAUAAAUUUGAGUUAUAUGAGCUGAAAUCUGCCUACCAGCCAUGUGGCUUGUGCUGGAUAAACCCCUGGUUUUGCAGUUCCAGCCAGGUAGCAAAAAUGGGCGGUUUAUCAGUCCCACUGACAAGACAACAUACAUGGCUGGUAUAUGGCUAUGAGAGCCAGUAGGGCUGUUGAGAACUUUCUGCUAAGCACAUAAAGAAACAUGUGUAACAGUCAUCCACCCACCCACCCACACAAAUUUGUGUGUUUUACUGUGUACAUGUGUGCUCAGAAGAUGGCACUUCCCAGUGAACAGAGACCAUAUUUACAGGCAGAAAAGCCAUACAUUUUUGCAAUGUGUAUGUUUUUGCAAUUGCCACUCUGGACCCCUUAUAUAUAGUAGUCAUUGCUGUACCUACUUUUCAUUUAGCAAAUGUGUGACUUUGAAGCUUUCCUAAGUUGCCACAGCAUUUGAAGGGCUCUUAUACUUCAGAAAAGGUCUAAUCCUCUAGAAUUGAAGAUUACCUAUAUCCAUGCAGUCACAUUUGUGUUAAUAUUUCUGAAGUUACGCAGUUGAGAGCCACACAAAAGGUGAUGAACAAAAUAUCAACUGGGUUUUGGCCUUAAUUGGAUUUUAGAAACCCAGUGAAUAAAAUUGAUAAAUAUUUCUCACUGCUGAUGUUCUAGUUAAUCACCAUCCUAGGUAAUUCCCUUUUCUUUCCUCAAAUUGUAUUGCGGACAAUUUCAUUAUGCUACAAUACAGUUCAUAUGUUGCAGAAUCUGGCACAUCUCGUGACAUACCUUUAUAAAAGCUCAAUCACUCUCCAUGUGAUAGAACUGUUAGUAUAUCAGUCCUCCGUUGCUGGGUGUGUGAUUGUUACAUCACUUGCCUGUGUUUGUUUUCUAGGCUUGGAAAAGCCUGAGAACGGAAGUUAGCCUUGUCUCUUCUGCUUUCUGUGUUUGUGUACUUUUUACUUUCUGUUCUCUCUCAGAGCUGAAGUGAGAGAACACCCUGACUGUUUGUCCUGUAAAUAUUGCUAAAUAAAAGCUUACAAUGAGGACACAAUUCUCCACUUCGUUUCUGCUGAUCUCCACUGAGUGAGUGUGCAUGUAGACAUUUGCUGCGUGUCACUGGAGCAUGCCAGGACUGAUGAUUUAUGGACAUCCCGGAACUGUGCAACACCAGGAGGACACCCAGAGAGGUUCGUCUCAUCCCGGGGGCUGCCUGGGCCCCAGGGUGUAUCCUGACAUUAACUACAAUUGUGUAACCUAAACCUGGCCUGCCUCUUUGUGUUAUUUCAACGCUUCUACUUGACAGGCUGGUAUAUAACUUCUUUCUUCCUCACAAUAAUCCUGAUAUAGGUGUCUUUAUUCUCAUUUUAUGGAUGAAGAACUGGAACCUCAAGGAUCACCUCUCCACAUAUGAACCAACACAGACCCUGAAAUCAUCAUCUGAGACCCUUCAUCAGGUGCCUCCUCCUUGAGAGGUCCAGAGGGUGGCAACAUGAGAACUUGCCUUUUCUGUGGUGGCUCCCAAUUUGAGGAAUGCAUUCCCCAUGGAGGCUUGCCUGGCACCUUCAUUACAUCUAUUUAGGCACCAAGUGAAAACAUUCCUCUCCUCCCAGGCAUUCAUCUAAUCACCAUGAAGUGAACCUCUGCAGCAUAGCAGCACAAUUUGGAGAGCCUCAUCCAGCCAGGCUGGUCAUUAAGGAAGGUAACAUUUAGCAUCUAAGCUCUUCCGGGCAUGAUUUUUGAAGGUGAGAUUUAGCAUCAGAAUGACUAUAUAAACAUGAAGAAAAGAUUUGAAACUAAAAUCCCCAUGUGCUAGUAACAUGCCAAUUAAUUGUUUCUCACAGACACCUUUUAUUUGUCCCUGUAUAGUAUAUUUACUUUGGCUUUCUACUUUACAACUCUUUUUCUCCAAGUGGGGAAACAUAUUUUAUUUACUCCAUUAUUGCUCCACAGAGAUCAGGAUGAAAAUGGAAGCAACUGCUCUUUCUCAUUGGCGCCUUUCCUUUCAGGGAACACAUUUGAUUGGUGGUGCAAAUUGGUGCUUUUGCUCUAGAAGCAUAGUUGAGAGACAAUGAACAAAGCAGCAGAGUUGCAGAGGGAGAAUGCAUAAUCCGCUUUCAUCAUAGGCCAGAAGCACCAGUAAAAUGAUGUGAGAACAGUGGAGACUUUUUACAGUUAGAUUGUUGCAAAGCAUUGUAGGUGGGGUCUAUCUUUAAAAAUGGUUCAGAAAAUUCAUUUGGCAUAGAAUGUGGCUUCAAGAGUACUAACUGGAACUAGACACUCCAGUAAUAUUAUGCCAGCAUUUUUUUCAUCUUCAUUGGCUCCUGCAAUGUUUCUAGUCCUAUUCAAGGUGCUGAUUCUGACCUUUAAAGAUUUUUUUACAACUUGGGAACAUGGCGAAUCUACUUGAACCCUGAGAUCACCAACAGAAGAUUCUCACAAGCUGAGAUAAAAUGGGUGGCCACAAGACAAAAGGCUUUUUUUAGAAGUGACCCCCAUUUAUGGAAUGCUUCCUCCAGACUGCUUUGCCUGGCACCCCCUUUUAAUGUCUUUUCAGUACCUGAGAAGAGUUUCUUCAGUUUCACUGAUCUUUUAAGCCCCACUUUUAAAAUCUCUGGCAUUAUAGGGGGGAGAGACAAGUCCCACGAUGUACAGGAAAACUAUCUUACUUUUUAUAAAGUUUGGGUAUUCGUGCUUUCUAAUUUUUAUAUUUUGGGUUCCAUGGAACUCCCUGCCACAAUAAUUCAGUUCCUCAAGGUGACCCUUUUCCACAGUUGCUCGUUCCUUUUAAAAUCCUCCUCAUAGCUUGGUGCAAUAGGCUUAAGCAUGAGAUGGACACAAGCACUGGAUAUAGUAUGACCUGUUGAGAAUAUUGUUUAUUAAACGGUUUUGUGUAUUUAAGGCAAUACUGAUAUUUAAACUGGUGUCUUGCAUGCACUUUGUGGCAGUUUCUACAGACUGAGAGACAACGUUGCUGACACCAGCCUCUAAACAGCUUUUUGUUGUUGUUUAGCUGUUUAGUCGUGUCCGACUCUUCGUGACCCUGUGGACCAGAGCACGCCAGGCACUCCUGUCUUCCACUGCCUCCCACAGUUAAACAGCUUUUACCUCAAGCCAAAUUCUCUAAACCACAGCUGAAUUAACUCACAACCCAUUGCAACUACUAAGGACAGUCUGCAUAUGAUCCCAUAGCUUCGUCACCUGGACUUCUGGCUGCUUGUACAGUUUGGCUGAUUUAAAAAAUCUGGUUGUGAACCUGUCACCAAGAAGCCACCACUAAGCAGUCUUGCAACAUAUGAACAGCACAAGGCCUUGGACUUUGACAGUUGUGCUCUGACAUUGCCAUAGAAAUCUGCUUCAAAGCACAAAACAUCAACAGACAGCCAUAUAUACAGCAAUUCUCCACACUGUGUUUUCACAUGGUUAUUUAGUUCUGUGGAACUUCCUACGCCUUAGGUUAAUUGCUGUUUGCCAUGAUUUUUAGAUUUCUUCUCUGAUUAAAAUGAUUGUUUUUAGCA